rnacentral:rRNA from 1 species
CGGGGAGAUGCGGAGCUACCAUGCAGUCGAGCGGUAACAGGGGUAGCUUGCUACCCGCUGACGAGCGGCGGACGGGUGAGUAAUGCAUAGGAAUCUGCCCGAUAGUGGGGGAUAACCUGGGGAAACCCAGGCUAAUACCGCAUACGUCCUACGGGAGAAAGGGGGCUCCGGCUCCCGCUAUUGGAUGAGCCUAUGUCGGAUUAGCUAGUUGGUAAGGUAAUGGCUUACCAAGGCAACGAUCCGUAGCUGGUCUGAGAGGAUGAUCAGCCACAUCGGGACUGAGACACGGCCCGAACUCCUACGGGAGGCAGCAGUGGGGAAUAUUGGACAAUGGGGGCAACCCUGAUCCAGCCAUGCCGCGUGUGUGAAGAAGGCCCUCGGGUUGUAAAGCACUUUCAGCGAGGAAGAACGCCUAUCGGUUAAUACCCGGUAGGAAAGACAUCACUCGCAGAAGAAGCACCGGCUAACUCCGUGCCAGCAGCCGCGGUAAUACGGAGGGUGCAAGCGUUAAUCGGAAUUACUGGGCGUAAAGCGCGCGUAGGUGGCUUGAUAAGCCGGUUGUGAAAGCCCCGGGCUCAACCUGGGAACGGCAUCCGGAACUGUCAGGCUAGAGUGCAGGAGAGGAAGGUAGAAUUCCCGGUGUAGCGGUGAAAUGCGUAGAGAUCGGGAGGAAUACCAGUGGCGAAGGCGGCCUUCUGGACUGACACUGACACUGAGGUGCGAAAGCGUGGGUAGCAAACAGGAUUAGAUACCCUGGUAGUCCACGCCGUAAACGAUGUCGACCAGCCGUUGGGUGCCUAGAGCACUUUGUGGCGAAGUUAACGCGAUAAGUCGACCGCCUGGGGAGUACGGCCGCAAGGUUAAAACUCAAAUGAAUUGACGGGGGCCCGCACAAGCGGUGGAGCAUGUGGUUUAAUUCGAUGCAACGCGAAGAACCUUACCUACCCUUGACAUCUACAGAAGCCGGAAGAGAUUCUGGUGUGCCUUCGGGAACUGUAAGACAGGUGCUGCAUGGCUGUCGUCAGCUCGUGUUGUGAAAUGUUGGUAAGU